ensembl:snoRNA SNORD111 small nucleolar RNA, C/D box 111
CAGUCUGAAAUGAUGCUUCUUUAAAGUUCAUGUCUCUUCUGACAUUUUUCUCUGGAGAUAGUUCUUGCCUUAUUGACCUGAUUAAGCUA